rnacentral:lncRNA from 1 species
GAUCAAACUCUGUUUGGCAGCACCUUUAUCCACUUCUCAGUUCCCUUAUCCGACAUUUUUACCUUUGGACCCUUCUAGGUAUAAGGACCUUCCAACAUCAGCUGUCCUCUGACCUCCACACACCCACUGUGAUAUGUGCCCAUCCCCACAAAUAUGUUUGUAAUAAAAAGACGUGCCAACAAUUUCUUUUCAAGGUGCUUGCUGUCAUAAUUGCCAUCACAAUGGGCUCUGUUGCCAUGUCAUAGCUGGGGUUAGCUUUGUGCUGGGUCUGGGGCUAGCCUUAACACUUACAGGCCGACUUUGCUUCUUCCAGUGAGGAGUCUCUCAGACCUAAGAACAACAACAAAAAUAACGAACAAGGGGUGUAGCUGGCUGUCCAUGACUCUGGCCACUAGUAUCUCAGUUUAUAUGGAUUACACAGAAUGAGAGUUUACCCAUUUCCACACGUCGUUAUCAACUCUCCAUGAAGUUCAAAAGGACAAAAGAUGAAAGCGGACUCGGCUAGCUUUCCGUGGUAUUUCCACGUGCAUGUGGGGACUUUCCUUUGAGACAAGGCUGGGGUGGGGGCCAAUAAUAUCUGGUAUCGCCUGACUGCUAAUACCAAGCUGAUGAGAAGGCGCUCGGACAUGGACCGAGGGGAUCAGAUACUCCGGGUCCCUUCUAAUUCUCUCUGCAUUUCUAAAUUGAGAAUCUUUGUCACCGGCUCCUCGCAUCCCAGGUCUCCCCCAAUUUUCCUCGCAGGCCUGU